rnacentral:rRNA from 1 species
AUUGAACGCUGGCGGCAGGCCUAACACAUGCAAGUCGAGCGGAUGAUGGGAGCUUGCUCCUGGAUUCAGCGGCGGACGGGUGGGUAAUGCCUAGGAAUCUGCCUGGUAGUGGGGGACAACGUUUCGAAAGGAACGCUAAUACCGCAUACGUCCUACGGGAGAAAGCAGGGGACCUUCGGGCCUUGCGCUAUCAGAUGAGCCUAGGUCGGAUUAGCUAGUAGGUGAGGUAAAGGCUCACCUAGGCGACGAUCCGUAACUGGUCUGAGAGGAUGAUCAGACACACUGGAACUGAGACGCGGUCCAGACUCCUACGGGGGGCAGCAGUGGGGAAUAUUGGACAAUGGGCGAAAGCCUGAUCCAGCCAUGCCGCGUGUGUGAAGAAGGUCUUCGGAUUGUAAAGCACUUUGAGUUGGGAGGAAGGGCAGUAAGUUAAUACCUUGCUGUUUUGACGUUACCGACAGAAUAAGCACCGGCUAACUUCGUGCCAGCCGCCGCCGUAAGAC